GAUGAACGCUGGCGGCGUGCCUAACACAUGCAAGUCGAACGGAAAGGCCCUUCGGGGUACUCGAGUGGCGGACGGCUGAGUAACGCGUGGGAACGUGCCCCAAAGUGAGGGAUAACUUCGAGAAAUCGGAGCUAAUACCGCAUAUGAUCUUCGGAUUAAAGAAUUUAUUCGCUUUGGGAGCGGCCUGCGUCGGAUUAGGUUGUUGGUGAGGUAAUGGCUCACCAAGCCGACGAUCCGUAGCUGGUCUGAGAGGAUGACCAGCCAGACUGGAACUGAGACACGGUCCAGACUCCUACGGGAGGCAGCAGUGAGGAAUCUUCCACAAUGGGCGAAAGCCUGAUGGAGCAACGCCGCGUGCAGGAUGAAUGCCUUCGGGUUGUAAACUGCUUUUAUAAGUGAAGAAUAUGACGGUAACUUAUGAAUAAGGAUCGGCUAACUACGUG
rnacentral:rRNA from 1 species